CCUACGGGCGGCAGCAGUGGGGAAUAUUGGACAAUGGGCGAAAGCCUGAUCCAGCCAUGCCGCGUGUGUGAAGAAGGCCUUCGGGUUGUAAAGCACUUUCAGUGGGGAAGAAAGCCUUGGGGCUAAUACCCUCGAGGAAGGACAUCACCCACAGAAGAAGCACCGGCUAACUCCGUGCCAGCAGCCGCGGUAAUACGGAGGGUGCGAGCGUUAAUCGGAAUUACUGGGCGUAAAGCGCGCGUAGGCGGUCUGAUAAGCCGGUUGUGAAAGCCCCGGGCUCAACCUGGGAACGGCAUCCGGAACUGUCAGGCUAGAGUGCAGUAGAGGAAGGUAGAAUUCCCGGUGUAGCGGUGAAAUGCGUAGAGAUCGGGAGGAAUACCAGUGGCGAAGGCGGCCUUCUGGACUGACACUGACGCUGAGGUGCGAAAGCGUGGGUAGCAAACAGGAUUAGAUACCCGAGUAGUC
rnacentral:rRNA from 1 species